CGCGGGUCUGGUCGCCUUCAUGAACGCUUGGAGCCCAUGCAAAACCAUUUUUUUGGCACCAACCUCCGCACCAAUAACGUAUCAAAAACUCCACUAUUCUUAAACCCCCAAAACCAGUCCAUGAGGCCCAAGAAAGGACCAAACCUUGAGCAAAAUUCGAAAAUGCCAUUUUUAAAUGGUUGACACUGGCAACGCUCACGUUGGUGAUGGCAGCUCUGGGCACAAAACCUUUCCAACAACCCUUGAAUUUCACAGGGGCCUCUCAAAUAGCUCCCCAAGGACAUCCAUACCCAAGGCAUGUCCGAUGACAUAUUUCCUUAAGGCCAUUUGGACAAACAAGACCACAGUGCCGCUGGCAAUCAACGAACCCAAUCGACACAUGACCAUUGGAAUGGUAUUUCCAUUAAUGAAAUAAGAAGUUUUGAACACGCCUAAGUGAAUUAUCAAUAGCGUUGGCACUAUAGGCGUGAUUUUGAAAUGAAUGAUGUGGCAGAGUUGCUAGUGCCAACUCUAGAGUUGCCACUGGUGGCGCAAGGAAUUAACAGCCUAGAUUGACCCCAAAUUUUAUGACACUAUUUGAAGAUUGGUUUUCUAUAAAUAGGGGCUCUUGGUUCCGAAUUUGGGAACUUUUGAGACUUCGAACCCUAGCCAAAACUCUGUCCCACUCAGGACUCGAAUCUCUAAACCUUGAGACCUAGGCCUAAUCCUUAAUCUCAGCAUCCUAAAACCAAAUUUUGACACCAUCACAGACCAAUCCAUCUGAUACAAGUAUCUUCUACCCCACGGACUCCAAAAGACUGGAAAAAGUCAGCGCAACAAGCACGAUUCUGAACCGGCCACCGACUCUGAGCGUCGGGGCUUAGGGCCCGCCUUAAGAUUUUGGAUCUACUAGGGUUGGUUCUCCUGGUCAAAUAGUCUGAUUAGAAGAUGAUGUAUACGUAAGCAGCUUAAUCAUACAUUGGCUACUAUGGCGUGGGUUUUCUCUUAUCCAUACUCUUAAGGUUGAACCGUUGCCAAAAGAUGAUGCAAUAACUUUUUGUGCAACAUCGUCUAGAUUGGCUCCUGUAAUUAAGUGCAUUCUUUUAUACUGGGGCAAAAACUCAAUGUGGCAAAAAACAAGGUGGGGCAUCACCAGGUUCUAAGCAUCUGAUUCUUAGGGAUCUGAAGUUCGGUGAAGGAUCUCUUCUGAUACGUUAUUUGGGGUUGCCUCUAUUUCAUGGUGGCUUGAAGCAUCGCUAAUGUCAUUCCCUGGUGGGUAAAAUCAUUAGUAAGAUUGAGACUUGGCAGGCAAUAUCCUUAUCUUAUGCAGGUCAU